GCGCUUGUAGCUCAGCUGGAUAGAGUACCUGGCUACGAACCAGUAGGUCGGGGGUUCGAAUCCCUCCAAGCGCGCCA
rnacentral:tRNA from 1 species